CGUGUCAGCCGCCGCGGUAAUACGUAGGUGGCAAGCGUUAUCCGGAAUUAUUGGGUGUAAAGGGUGCGUAGGCGGGAUGUAAAGUCAGAUGUGAAAUUUAUCGGCUUAACCGGUAGACUGCAUUUGAAACUUACGUUCUUGAGUGAAGUAGAGGCAAGCGGAAUUCCCAGUGUAGCGGUGAAAUGCGUAGAUAUUGGGAGGAACACCAGUGGCGAAGGCGGCUUGCUGGGCUUUUACUGACGCUGAGGCACGAAAGUGUGGGGAGCAAACAGGAUUAGAUACCCUGGUAGUCCACACUGUAAACGAUGAUUACUAGGUGUAGGGUGGUUGAACCAUUCUGUGCCGGAGUUAACACAAUAAGUAAUCCACCUGGGGAGUACGGCCGCAAGGUUGAAACUCAAAGGAAUUGACGGGGGCCCGCACAAGG
rnacentral:rRNA from 1 species